AUUGAACGCUGGCGGCAUGCCUUACACAUGCAAGUCGAACGGCAGCACGGGAGCAAUCCUGGUGGCGAGUGGCGAACGGGUGAGUAAUAUAUCGGAACGUGCCCGGUCGUGGGGGAUAACGUAGCGAAAGCUACGCUAAUACCGCAUACGAUCUACGGAUGAAAGCGGGGGAUCGCAAGACCUCGCGCGAUUGGAGCGGCCGAUAUCAGAUUAGGUAGUUGGUGAGGUAAAGGCUCACCAAGCCGACGAUCUGUAGCUGGUCUGAGAGGACGACCAGCACACUGGGACUGAGACACGGCCCAGACUCCUACGGGAGGCAGCAGUGGGGAAUUUUGGGACAAUGGGCGCAAGCCUGAUCCAGCAAUGCCGCGUGCAGGAUGAAGGCCUGGUUGUAACUAGCUUUGUUACGGUAACGGU
rnacentral:rRNA from 1 species